GUGCGUGUGAUCCAAUUGGCAGAGGUGUUAGGUUUAAGCCCUAAAUGAUGGUGGUUCGAAUCCAUCCACGCAUACCA
rnacentral:tRNA from 2 species